rnacentral:misc_RNA from 1 species
GAAAUAUCCAGAUUUUGUGAAAGAAGAUAAUCCAAUGAAAUCCCAGUACAGAGACAAAGAUCAGAAAUCAAAUCUCUAAUUUUUCAGAUGGGAAACUCACAUAAGUUUCUGCUUUUACAGGGCUCACAUAAAUCACAUUCAUUACGUGUACAUAUCUCAUCAACAUGUUCUUCAUUUCUGAUCAGUACAGAGGAAUAUUCUUUGAUUGCCCUAACAUACUAUCUCCCCUUGCUAAGCAAUUGAUAGAGUCACAUGCAUGGAUGUUGUUCCACAAUUUAAAAACCCUAAACUAGUUAACAGAUCCUACCACACAAAUAUAGGUUUCCCUCUUUUCUGGAUUUCCACUAAAACAAACAAACAAACAAACCUCCACAUAUAAAUAGAGCUACCUGAGGCCUCCACACGAUCCUACUAUGAAAGGAAAGGGAACAUUUAAAAAACAAUGAAGCUUUUCUUUUCUUCAGUUAGGCGCAGAGUUUGAAUCUGAAUCGGACUUGGAUUGAUAUUCGAACGAGACAUUACGUAACUCUCUGCUCAUUGAUUGAAUCAACUCAAACUCCAUACUUUACAUCCCUGCAGAAGAGUUCCUCAUUGGUUGAAUCUUGACCUCUUAAACCAUUAGAUAAGCACACUGAAACGAAGCUUUUCUUUUCUUUAGUUAGGUGGAUGGAUAAAUCGUAUAUCUCUGAACUCUUAAACAAUCCGAUGUACCACUCCACAAUGAAGCUUUAAAGAAAGGAAUAUUAAGGAUGAAAGAAACUACAAGAUAGUCAUUGCAUUAUUAGUUUAUGGUCUAAUACCCUUCUCCUUUUAGACCGUUCACUAGAGUUUGAUCGUUCAAGUAAAGAUUUCAGUGCAGUUUGCAAGAAAUGUACUGAUUCAAUGCUGUGAUCUUUCUCUGCGGCGACUAUAAGAACGUUCUUGAUUCUUCCUCCAAUUGUAACCAUUUCAGCUCUCAGAGUCCUCAAAUGCAGGGAUUUCAAUAUCUCAAUGAGGUCAGGCAAAAGAUCGGAGCGAUCUUCGCAGCACAAAGAUGCCUUGAAGAUCAAUUGUCCAUCACUUGAACACUCGCCGGAAAGAACAGUGAUCUCAUCGGUUUCUGAUGGGAAGGUCUCGAGCCCUGGAAUUUGUGAGGUCUGUUGCUUGAGUUCUCUCACUCGUUGAACAACUUUUGCAAGAAGUGAAGCUUUGUCUGUCUUAGAGUUGCAAGGAAGGAGGCUUCUGAGCUUAUCAAGAUGAGAGUUAAUUCUUUCUCUCCUUCUCUUCUCAGCUUCCUUAUGAUUCUUCAAAGCAGCAAGAGCUCUAUCCUGUGGUGUCAUAUCCGUAAUUACAGACCCUUCCAAGGGGUAAUUAUGGUAAGACGACGAGGAUGAACUACACAUGCUUUGCAUCGUCGGGAAACCGUAGGGUCCAACGUUGAAAACUCCGUUCUCGACGAGAAAUCGGAACAAGUGUGAAUUUUCCGGGGAGUUAUCGGGUUGCAUGGUCUUGGUUCCAAGUGUUGAUCGAUGUAAAAGGAAAUGGAAAUGAGAUGAAUCGUUAAGGAACGAAAUGAUAUAUAUAAUUUCCUUUCGGUGUUGAAAAAAG